rnacentral:rRNA from 1 species
AUACGGAGGAUGCAAGCGUUAUCCGGAUUUAUUGGGUUUAAAGGGUGCGUAGGCGGGACUUUAAGUCAGUGGUGAAAUCUUGCAGCUUAACUGUAAAAUUGCCAUUGAUACUGAAGUUCUUGAAUAUAGUUGAGGUAGGCGGAAUGUGUAGUGUAGCGGUGAAAUGCAUAGAUAUUACACAGAACACCAAUUGCGAAGGCAGCUUACUAAGCUAUUAUUGACGCUGAGGCACGAAAGCGUGGGUAGCGAACAGGAUUAGAUACCCUAGUAGUCC